rnacentral:rRNA from 1 species
AUGAGAGCUCUGAUUGACAGCUACUUCCAGAACUUGUUCACGGCAGAGGUACAUGUCGUGAACCAGGAAGUACUCGAGAAGGUUAAACCAAGAGUAACACCAUACAUUGAGGAGGAAGUGAAGAGAGCAUUGUUCAGCAUUGACGAUCUAAAGGCUCCUGGGCCAUAUGGCUUACACGCAAUAUUUUAUAAAAAGUUUUGGCAUUUAAUCGGUGAUGAUCUUACAAAAGAAGUAUUGUAUGCUGUGAGUAGUGGGGUCAUCCCAGAGGGAUGGAACACAACCACGAUAGUGCUGAUUCCCAAAGUUGAUACGCCGGAGAAUGUCUCACAAUUUAGGCCAAUAAGCCUCUGUAAUGUUGUUUACAAAGUAAUAGCGAAGAUGCUAGCAGCUAGGCUAAAGAUUUUUCUUCCUGAUAUUAUUAGUGAGACACAUAGCGUUUUUGUUCCAGGGCAUAUCAUUACUGAUAAUGUAAUUGUGGCUUACGAGUGUUUACAUACCAUGAAGAAGAAGAAGAAGAAAGGAAAAGUUGGCCAUGUGCUGUGA